rnacentral:rRNA from 1 species
AGCGGCGGAUGGGUGAGUAACACGUGGGGAACCUGCCCCUAAGUCUGGGAUACCAUUUGGAAACAGGUGCUAAUACCGGAUAAUAAAGCAGAUCGCAUGAUCAGCUUUUGAAAGGCGGCGUAAGCUGUCGCUAAGGGAUGGCCCCGCGGUGCAUUAGCUAGUUGGUAAGGUAACGGCUUACCAAGGCGACGAUGCAUAGCCGAGUUGAGAGACUGAUCGGCCACAUUGGGACUGAGACACGGCCCAAACUCCUACGGGAGGCAGCAGUAGGGAAUCUUCCACAAUGGACGCAAGUCUGAUGGAGCAACGCCGCGUGAGUGAAGAAGACUUUCGGAUCGUAAAGCUCUGUUGUUGGUGAAGAAGGAUAGAGGUAGUAACUGGCCUUUAUUUGACGGUAAUCAACCAGAAAGUCACGGCUAACUACGUGCCAGCAGCCGCGGUAAUACGUAGGUGGCAAGCGUUGUCCGGAUUUAUUGGGCGUAAAGCGAGCGCAGGCGGAAAAAUAAGUCUAAUGUGAAAGCCCUCGGCUUAACCGAGGAACUGCAUCGGAAACUGUUUUUCUUGAGUGCAGAAGAGGAGAGUGGAACUCCAUGUGUAGCGGUGGAAUGCGUAGAUAUAUGGAAGAACACCAGUGGCGAAGGCGGCUCUCUGGUCUGCAACUGACGCUGAGGCUCGAAAGCAUGGGUAGCGAACAGGAUUAGAUACCCUGGUAGUCCAUGCCGUAAACGAUGAGUGCUAAGUGU